rnacentral:rRNA from 1 species
GACAGAGGGUGCAAACGUUGCUCGGAAUUACUGGGCGUAAAGCGCGUGUAGGCGGAUCGGCAAGUCAGGUGUGAAAGCCCUGGGCUCAACCCAGGAACUGCACUUGAAACUGCCGGACUAGAGUGGUGGAGAGGGAAGCGGAAUUCCUGGUGUAGAGGUGAAAUUCGUAGAUAUCAGGAGGAACACCAGUGGCGAAGGCGGCUUCCUGGACACUCACUGACGCUGAGACGCGAAAGCGUGGGUAGCAAACAGG